rnacentral:rRNA from 1 species
AGGCUUAACACAUGCAAGUCGAGGGGCAGCACAGGUAGCAAUACCGGGUGGCGACCGGCGCACGGGUGAGUAACGCGUAUGCAACUUACCUAUCAGAGGGGGAUAACCCGGCGAAAGUCGGACUAAUACCGCAUGAAGCAGGGGCCCCGCAUGGGGAUAUUUGCUAAAGAUUCAUCGCUGAUAGAUAGGCAUGCGUUCCAUUAGGCAGUUGGCGGGGUAACGGCCCACCAAACCGACGAUGGAUAGGGGUUCUGAGAGGAAGGUCCCCCACAUUGGUACUGAGACACGGACCAAACUCCUACGGGAGGCAGCAGUGAGGAAUAUUGGUCAAUGGCCGAGAGGCUGAACCAGCCAAGUCGCGUGAGGGAUGAAGGUUCUAUGGAUCGUAAACCUCUUUUAUAAGGGAAUAAAGUGCGGGACGUGUCCCGUUUUGUAUGUACCUUAUGAAUAAGGAUCGGCUAACUCCGUGCCAGCAGCCGCGGUAAUACGGAGGAUCCGAGCGUUAUCCGGAUUUAUUGGGUUUAAAGGGUGCGUAGGCGGCCUUUUAAGUCAGCGGUGAAAGUCUGUGGCUCAACCAUAGAAUUGCCGUUGAAACUGGGGGGCUUGAGUAUGUUUGAGGCAGGCGGAAUGCGUGGUGUAGCGGUGAAAUGCAUAGAUAUCACGCAGAACCCCGAUUGCGAAGGCAGCCUGCCAAGCCAUUACUGACGCUGAUGCACGAAAGCGUGGGGAUCAAACAGGAUUAGAUACCCUGGUAGUCCACGCAGUAAACGAUGAUCACUAGCUGUUUGCGAUACACUGUAAGCGGCACAGCGAAAGCGUUAAGUGAUCCACCUGGGGAGUACGCCGGCAACGGUGAAACUCAAAGGAAUUGACGGGGGCCCGCACAAGCGGAGGAACAUGUGGUUUAAUUCGAUGAUACGCGAGGAACCUUACCCGGGUUUGAACGCAUUCGGACCGAGGUGGAAACACCUUUUCUAGCAAUAGCCGUUUGCGAGGUGCUGCAUGGUUGUCGUCAGCUCGUGCCGUGAGGUGUCGGCUUAAGUGCCAUAACGAGCGCAACCCUUGCCACUAGUUACUAACAGGUGAUGCUGAGGACUCUGGUGGGACUGCCAGCGUAAGCUGCGAGGAAGGCGGGGAUGACGUCAAAUCAGCACGGCCCUUACAUCCGGGGCGACACACGUGUUACAAUGGCGUGGACAAAGGGAGGCCACCUGGCGACAGGGAGCGAAUCUCCAAACCACGUCUCAGUUCGGAUCGGAGUCUGCAACCCGACUCCGUGAAGCUGGAUUCGCUAGUAAUCGCGCAUCAGCCAUGGCGCGGUGAAUACGUUCCCGGGCCUUGUACACACCGCCCGUCAAGCCAUGGGAGCCGGGGGUACCUGAAGUCCGUAACCGAAAGGAUCGGCCUAGGGUAAAACUGGUGACUGGGGCUAA